GGUAAAGUGGCUGAAAAAGGUGAUAAAUUGUAAAUUUAUUUAUGGUUAAACCCUUUACUA
rnacentral:tRNA from 1 species